rnacentral:rRNA from 1 species
AUUGAACGCUGGCGGCAGGCCUAACACAUGCAAGUCGAACGGUAGCACAGAGAGCUUGCUCUCGGGUGACGAGUGGCGGACGGGUGAGUAAUGUCUGGGAAACUGCCCGAUGGAGGGGGAUAACUACUGGAAACGGUAGCUAAUACCGCAUAAUGUCGCAAGACCAAAGAGGGGGACCUUCGGGCCUCUUGCCAUCGGAUGUGCCCAGAUGGGAUUAGCUAGUUGGUGAGGUAAUGGCUCACCAAGGCGACGAUCCCUAGCUGGUCUGAGAGGAUGACCAGCCACACUGGAACUGGGACACGGUCCAGACUCCUACGGGAGGCAGCAGUGGGGAAUAUUGCACAAUGGGCGCAAGCCUGAUGCAGCCAUGCCGCGUGUAUGAAGAAGGCCUUCGGGUUGUAAAGUACUUUCAGCGGGGAGGAAGGCAAUGCGGUUAAUAACCGUGUUGAUUGACGUUACCCGCAGAAGAAGCACCGGCUAACUCCGUG